rnacentral:sRNA from 1 species
UCACAAGCGACUGCUCGUAGGCUCGACACGGGCCUCUUGAAAGCCCAGUCUUGAAGGCGGUCCUGAGCCUCCCAUUCAAUACACUCCUAAUAACCACCUUUCAGAUAGAUGACUGGCAGACUUGUCCUGUAGUUCAAGAUACGAACGCUGACCUCCAACGCCGUUUGAUGAUGAUGACAAGGUGAUCAGUGGUUCUGAUACCGUACAUAACCUCCUCGACCUGCCCUAUAUGCCCUCUGUGGUGAAUAUUCUCCCCGAAGGCAUCACAAAGGCGGAUUACAUGACGCCCGUACGUAUUGAGAACCAUCCCUCCUUCACGUCUGCUAUCCGUCCUGGUGUUAAGCCAAGAAGAGAAUGCUUGACGAUGUUGAUUCUCUGACGAAGACUAUCUUAUUGAUGCGAGGCGCAAAAUUCAUGGUCACUAGAAACAUCUGGGUCUACUAAGGUCUACUAGUGAGUCAGUGGAACAAGUUUACGAGAUUCUUUGGGACGACCCGCCGCUUGACAUAUGGACAUACGUUCGCGCAUUG